UACGUAGGGUGCGAGCGUUAAUCGGAAUUACUGGGCGUAAAGCGUGCGCAGGCGGUUUUGAAAGACAGGCGUGAAAUCCCCGGGCUUAACCUGGGAACUGCGCUUGUAACUGGCAAGCUAGAGUGUGGCAGAGGGGGGUGGAAUUCCACGUGUAGCAGUGAAAUGCGUAGAGAUGUGGAGGAACACCGAUGGCGAAGGCAGCCCCCUGGGCUAACACUGACGCUCAUGCACGAAAGCGUGGGGAGCAAACAGG
rnacentral:rRNA from 1 species